UACAGAGGGUGCAAGCGUUGUUCGGAAUCACUGGGCGUAAAGCGCGUGUAGGCGGUUUCCUAAGUCAGGUGGGAAAUCCCCCGGCUUAACCGGGGAAGUGCGCCUGAAACUGGGAGGCUUGAGUAUCGGAGAGGAAAGGGGAAUUCCCGGUGUAGAGGUGAAAUUCGUAGAUAUCGGGAGGAACACCGGCGGCGAAGGCGCCUUUCUGGUCGAUCACUGACGCUGAGACGCGAAAGCGUGGGGAGCAAACAGG
rnacentral:rRNA from 1 species